rnacentral:misc_RNA from 1 species
GAUGAAGAACGCAGCGAAAUGUGAUACUUGGUGUGAAUUGCAGAAUCCCGUGAACCAUCGAGUCUUUGAACGCAAGUUGCGCCCGAAGCCAUUAGGCCGAGGGCACGCCUGCCUGGGCGUCACACGUCGUUGCCCCCCCAUCUACUCCUUCGGGAUUGCGAGGGGCGGAUGAUGGCCUCCCGUGCGCCUCGUCGCGCGGUUGGCAUAAAUGCCAAGUCCUCGGCGACGCACGCCACGACAAUCGGUGGUUGCGAAACCUCGGUUGCCCGUCGUGUGCGGUCGUCGCGCAUCGAGGGCUCGAAAAAAUUGCCGGGCUCCGGCUCGGCUUUCAACGCGACCCCAGGUCAGGCGGGGUUACCCGCUGAAUUUAAGCAUAUCAAUAAGCGGAGGA